CAUUAUUAGUGGUAUCUUAGCC
rnacentral:siRNA from 1 species